UCUAUAAAGAGAGGUGCAACACUCAGGCAGAUUAAUUCUAGGCAACUAGGGCCGUUUGACGAUUAAUUGAUGGGAGUGCUUGCCGAGGUGUGAAUUCACUAGACUGGAAUGAACAUCGGCUAGGUCAGGUUGAAUCCUACUAGCUGUCAUUUAAAUCUCGUUUAAAGCGAUUUUAAAUGGAGUGCUCUGAGGAAU
rnacentral:ncRNA from 2 species